GACGAACGCUGGCGGCGUGCCUAAUACAUGCAAGUAGAACGCACAGUUUAUACCGUAGCUUGCUACACCAUAGACUGUGAGUUGCGAACGGGUGAGUAACGCGUAGGUAACCUGCCUGGUAGCGGGGGAUAACUAUUGGAAACGAUAGCUAAUACCGCAUAAUAUUGAUUAUUGCAUGAUAAUUGAUUGAAAGAUGCUAUUGCAUCACUACCAGAUGGCCCUGCGUUGUAUUAGCUAGUAGGUGAGGUAACGGCUCACCUAGGCGACGAUACAUAUCCGACCGGAGAGGGUGAUCGGCCACACUGGGACUGAGACACGGCCCAGACUCCUACGGGAGGCAGCAGUAGGGAAUCUUCGGCAAUGGACGAAAGUCUGACCGAGCAACGCCGCGUGAGUGAAGAAGGGUUUCGGAUCGUAAAGCUCGGUUGUAAGAGAAGAACGGGUGUGAGAGUGGAAAGUUCACACUGUGACGGUAGCUUACCAGAAAGGGACGGCUAACUACGUG
rnacentral:rRNA from 1 species